CUUCUGAGACGCUUUUCAUUGUCUUCAUCACUUUGGAGCUCCCUAUAAACAAACAUCUAGGCAUUGGUAUUUGAUCAGAGCAAGGUUGAAGCAAGGAGAUCCUAGAGAUGAUUCUCUUAAACCUUGGGUGCAAGAAGAGAAUCCAUGCAAUGAACUGGACGAAGAGAUUUCCCCAAGAAGAGGGUGAAGGUUCUCAGGUGAAGGCGCGGCGGUCCAUGCCCAUGAGACAAAUGUUGUGGAAGGUGAAGUCACGGUGGAGGCUGGCCUUGAGGUCGAGGAGUUCGGUGCGGUUUGGAUAUGACCCUGAGAGCUACUCCCAGAACUUUGAUGAUGGCUUGCUUCCUCAGUGAUCAGCUUGUUACAUGUCCAGCUUAUUUCCUUUCAACUAGGCAAGUUUGAGUAGCUUAUUCUGAUUAACAUUUGGUCUUUUUGCAGCUGUGUGUUGGCCAAUUCAUUCACGAUUUGGUGGAAAAGACUAGUAUAUGCUAUUAGCUUUUGUGUAUAUGCUCGCAUUCUGGUAUUCUUCCAUCUGCCAUUUUUUUUUUUUUAAUGUUCUGAUAAGUGAUAAGUCGUAGAUAAUUAGAUUUUUGAAACAAAUGGCAUCAAUUUACUUCUUUCAGCAGUCGCACCAGAAAUUUUUAAGUACCUUGUGAGUUUCAUUAGGACUAUCUUAAUUAUUAGACUGACCAUUUUCUUGCCUUUAGUGUUCUUAAUAAAAGUAUAAAAUAGCAUAUAGAUUAAUCCAAUUUUUUCUGGUUGUUAUUGCGUCCUAUCUAUGUCUUGCUGUCCGUAGAAGGUUGGAAUGUGUCGCUGCCGAGCGGCUAUAGCUGGGAAAUAUUUGAAAGAAACACUCUGUUAUCUCACUGGAUCUGCAGGGAUGUUCAUUUAGAGAAUGAGCUCAAAAGGCCGGUAGUUAUAUAUUUCUUCUGUUCACCUAGAUUUCUCAGAAAAGGAGAAGGAAGAGGAGAACUCUAUCCAGUUUCAUAAUUUUUCUUACUUUGUAAAAUAUUAAGCAUAAAAAGUAGUCUAUUUGAUUUUGGGUUUGACAAACAUGUGCCGGCAUAGAGGUUUUUGAUUUCGAAAUUGUAAUUUUAUGCUUUCGCAAUUUAAUUUUUCAGAAUUUGGAAAACCUUUUGACUGUUUAUGGGGGUACCUUCCAUAAGGCAAGAAAAGAGUAAAAUGGUAAAAGAUUAACAUUUAUUCUUUGACACGAACAAAAAGCUAAAUCACGAUGUCGCAUAAAUUACAUAGUUUGAUGAUCUUCUACCGUAGCAAACAUACAGGUAAAAAGGUGGCAUCGCCGGACGAUCACCACCAAGUUUCAACCAUUUCAUACCUAAAAAUUUCCAUGGACAACCUCAGGAGGACAUAAUUUAUUAGAUUUUUUAUUAUUUAUUUAUUUAUUUUUGAGGAACGUAAUUUAUUAGAUUUCCUUGAGGAAACGUGACAGCCCCCACAACCCUUCUGCCUUAUUUUCCUUUCUUAGAAGUUUUCUUUUUUUUGGCCCUUUACCAUUCAAAUCCCAGGUGAUGAUCUUAUGCACCAUAACGUUAUCCAUAAUCUACAAAAGAGUAAGAUGGGUUUCCUUCUCCAUACAAGACGUCCACGAAGAGGACAGAACUACAAGCUACAACGAAGUGGGAUUCACCAUAAGCACAGAGACCCAAGGUCCAGCAAAACACACAUACACACACACAUAGAGAACAACAGAAAAACUCCACAAUAUCUGGCCUCUAUAGUAGCUAGCCAAAGAGACCAUCCAUCGUUCCACUGCCUAGGACCACACCAGAGACGGUAGACUUUAUAGCACGAGAACUGACACGCCUUACUGUCUAAAUGCAACACCAAACAUAUAUAGCCGAGGACUUUAGGAUGUCUUAUCAUUUGAUUUCCGCUGCCGGGCGCAAUACUCGAACAAGCUCCCAUCAAAGCAACGCCUGAUGGCCUCCUUGGACAGGAAACCAUCCUCGUCUCUAGCAAGUAUGUACAGAAUUAUCCACUCCAGUUUCGCUGCAGUCCUGCAAACCAUUUCAUACAUAUUUAAGACCCCUUGUUCCACCACUAAUCAUACUCGCUAGAUGCAACUAGAAUCAGCUUGAUAUCGUACAAUUGAUUGGUAGAUUACUUUACCUGGAUAUCUACACUGUCUGAAGACAUCUAUUGUUAAGAACACACAUAUAUAUCUUUCUAAUAUCCACUAGCAUAUUGUUAAAGCUGGGCAUGCUACCAGGGUUGCACAGGCUUGACAAUUCACCGGGGAGCCAAACUUGGG
rnacentral:lncRNA from 1 species